rnacentral:lncRNA from 1 species
GAAUUAAUAUUUUUCAACCUUCCCAUUGUCUCUGAGCAGACCAGCUGUGGGUGCUGGACUGGUCUUGAACCUGCUGGUUGCAACCUGAAGAAUUUCCUCUCUUUGUUGGUCCCUGAAUUUAAUAUCACUGUUGCAGAAAUGGACUCUCUAAACCACAAUUGACUGCAACUGGACUUUUUCAUAUAACUGAGAUGCUAAUGGUAAUUUUUUAUUUUGGCUUUGACAGAGCAAAUUUUUGAUUAUCAAUCAAACUCUGACUCUUGAAGGAAAAGAAGCAAAAUUAUAUCAUCCACAGGACCCGUCUCGUGCAGCUCAGUUUCUGAGCAGCCUUAUGCAGGUUUGUUUUGGACUGCUAUCUCCUCCUGCAAGCAAAACAGCAAUUUCUACUCAAUCCUGCGUGAAGGAGAUGUGUCCAGCAGUUCUCUCUUGCUCCCCAGGGGAAUAAAGAUCUAUCUCCUGCAUUAUUGGCUUUUCUUGUUCGUUGUUUUUUAUUUUCUUGCUUCGGUUUCCAAAACCACUGAAUUCACAGCAUGUUCAGCUAACAGAAAAAUAACCCAAGUGCUGUGCUUUGAACACAUAAUGGAUCUCCUAAAGAACAUGAAACCACCAAUGUCCACUGGAAGUUCUUGUCUACAUGAGGUGAACAUGCAGAAAGGGAAAAUGCUGACUCUGUAA